GAUGAACGCUGGCGGCGUGCCUAAUACAUGCAAGUCGAGCGAACGGACGAGAAGCUUGCUUCUCUGAUGUUAGCGGCGGACGGGUGAGUAACACGUGGAUAACCUACCUAUAAGACUGGGAUAACUUCGGGAAACCGUAGCUAAGACCGGAUAAUAGUUUGAACCGCAUGGUUCAAAAGUGAAAGACGGUCUUGCUGUCACUUAUAGAUGGAUCCGCGCUGCAUUAUCUAGUUGGUAAGGUAACGGCUUACCAAGGCAACGAUGCAUAGCCGACCUGAGAGGGUGAUCGGCCACACUGGAACUGAGACACGGUCCAGACUCCUACGGGAGGCAGCAGUAGGGAAUCUUCAGCAAUGGGCGAAAGCCUGACGGAGCAACGCCGCGUGAGUGAUGAAGGUCUUCGGAUCGUAAAACUCUGUUAUUAGGGAAGAACAUAUGUGUAAGUAACUGUGCACAUCUUGACGGUACCUAAUCAGAAAGCCACGGCUAACUACGUG
rnacentral:rRNA from 1 species